rnacentral:rRNA from 1 species
CCUACGGGAGGCUGCAGUGGGGAAUAUUGGACAAUGGGGGGAACCCUGAUCCAGCCAUGCCGCGUGUGUGAAGAAGGCCCUCGGGUUGUAAAGCACUUUCAGUGAGGAAGAACGCCUGGUGGUUAAUACCCAUCAGGAAAGACAUCACUCACAGAAGAAGCACCGGCUAACUCCGUGCCAGCAGCCGCGGUAAUACGGAGGGUGCGAGCGUUAAUCGGAAUAACUGGGCGUAAAGCGCGCGUAGGUGGCUUGAUAAGCCGGUUGUGAAAGCCCCGGGCUCAACCUGGGAACGGCAUCCGGAACUGUCAAGCUAGAGUGCAGGAGAGGAAGGUAGAAUUCCCGGUGUAGCGGUGAAAUGCGUAGAGAUCGGGAGGAAUACCAGUGGCGAAGGCGGCCUUCUGGACUGACACUGACACUGAGGUGCGAAAGCGUGGGUAGCAAACAGGAUUAGAUACCCCAGUAGUC